GGGGCGUUAGCUUAGCAGGUUAAAGCAAUAGAUUUUUAAUCUAGAGAGCGCUGGUUCGAUUCCAGCACGUCCCA
rnacentral:tRNA from 1 species